AUGGAAGAAGCGAUGUUGGUGAGGUUCAAUCCGAAGACGAAUUUAUGCUUAUUUUCGUAAAGAACGAUCUCAGAUUGAGCCGCGCCAAUAUCACUUCUUAUUUUCAUUCCGU
rnacentral:pre_miRNA from 1 species